rnacentral:rRNA from 1 species
UACGUAGGGUCCGAGCGUUGUCCGGAAUUACUGGGCGUAAAGGGCGCGUAGGCGGCCUGUUAAGUCGGACGUGAAAUCCCUCGGCUCAACCGCGGGCCUGCAGCCGAUACGGGCAGGCUAGAGUUCGGUAGGGGAGACUGGAAUUCCUGGUGUAGCGGUGAAAUGCGCAGAUAUCAGGAGGAACACCGGUGGCGAAGGCGGGUCUCUGGGCCGAUACUGACGCUGAGGAGCGAAAGCGUGGGGAGCGAACAGG